ACUCAAUGCUGGGUGCGCCGUAUUUUAUUUUAUAUUGAUACGUUUCGACAGAGUUAGAGUGGGUAGUUUUAUUUUGAUCUGGUAUAACUUACAAUUAAUGAAGAACUGGCAGAAUUCUGCUGUUCAACGAUGAAUUGCGUGUCGCAGUAUUUCCGAUCGUAUAUGUGCCUUACGGUCAUAUCAAUCGCGCCGCUCAAUUAUCACCAGGCUCGUGAUACGAGCGCUCGUAAUUACUAGCUGCGAACCGCCCUUGAGCCAAUUAGCUACGCAGUAGCCGUGGUAACACUGCAGUAACCGUGUAACAACCACGUGCAAGGAUUCACCUCUUGGCGAGCGGUCCCGAGUCCUGGGGAGAGAGGAUCGAAGGAUCGUUUCCCUGUUCGUGCACCUGCUGCGUCGUGUACGUGAGUACGUGUGUGCCUGUCCGUGUGUGGGCUGUACGAAUGUUCAUUUGUACAUGUGUGGUGGUUUGCGCUGGGUGGAGACGAUCGGAAUGAAGUGCUGCCGGCAAACAUGCAGUGGAAUUGAACGAGGGGAGAUUACGGCGGUCGAAGGACGGUCGAGGGCGGAAAGAGCGAGCAGGGCCUAAAAGUCGGACUGCGACGUGGCCAGGGCACUCUCGGCCGUCUCCUCGCGUCGUCAUAAGGGCCUCGUCACCUCGCCGCAUUCGCCGCAAUACGUCGGGUGUCCACGACGAUCCACGCGGUUGCUGAUCGAGUGGUCGCUGCAACAGAGAAAGCGAACGGGGUGAUUAGCGAGAAUGCCAGCGAACGUUACAAGCAGUCGCGUGACAGCAGAAGAGGCGACGGAUACGAGCCCUUAUCCACGCGCGCACAGCUCCCGUGAGGCACAAGUUAUGAUUACGAGCGGCCGCAGUGCCAAGGGACAUAAAUUUUAGGGCCGCUUCGGCCGACAUGCUCGAUUGAAGUACGAAAUUGGAGUCGUCGACUGCACGGCGUUUAAUAAGGACUACGUCGGCGUCGUCGUCGUCGAUAUCGGCGAUGUGGAUCAGCGGGGGACUUUGCAAGGAUCUGGAACUGACAAGGUCGAGGACGUCGUUUCCUCGAGAUACGUCUGAUGGCACUUUACGCACUCGCUCGCUUUUGGACGAACUAAUUCUUCAAUAACAGAAUGAUGAAGCAAAAAUAAUCGUGCUGCUGGCUAAUAUCACGAGGGUUUCGAUAAUAGGACAGCGCGUUUCAAAGACUACAAUGCCUGUUUCAAUCGACGUAAUGGAGGAGAAAGGUAUUGUCGCGAGGUUCAAACGAUUCAGAGGUAUUGUAAUAUCAGUUAAAAGAUUCUAAUCUGAGAAGACGCUAUAUUAAUGGAUAUUAAAGAGAAAUUCUAUGUGCUUUCUUGCACACUGCAUCGUUGUUAUCAUCAGUAAUCCUGGAUCUGCAAGCUCGUACAAAGAGGCGAACCACUACUUUAAGCUAUAAAUAUGGAUUCUAUUAGAUUAAGCGACCGCCGUUCAGAGGCUUUGCCAAAAAUCCGAUAGAUUAAAGCAAGUUGAAUAUACAUUUGUGGCCAUUAUACUUGCCACGUGAUGCAGAUGUAUAUAGCUUGUAAUCCCUGCGAUAUAUUAAAUGACCUGUUAAAUUGGUUUAUAUAUUAUAUCUAUAACACUGUUAAAUUAUAUGUAAUGAAGGUAAUGGCGAAUAUGUUUAACACGCGCGCGUUGGUUUUUGGAUAAUUGUGCAAUUUGAAUUAAUUUUCGUGUCCAUGCAAUAAUAUUCAAAUUUUAGAAAGCGUACUAGCAAUCUUCGCAAAUGUAAUCAUGCUAACCGAAGCACGCAUAAUCACGAGAGUUCGGUGUAAAGCUUUCAGUCUUGACAUAAAUUCAUUAGCGUCACGCUAACCGGAGCACGCACAGACGCACGCGUGUAUAGUGCCCAGAUGUCUGAAAUUCGUCAGAGCGGAAACCAGUUUCUCUCAUAUUAUAAUACAUUAUUGUCACUGCAUCUAUCAUCCACCAUUAACGAAAAUUGCUGCAUGCGAAGAGAAUUUUCACUUUUUAUUCUGAGACUCUUUUCGUGCAUAUUUUCAAAUAAUAUUUCUGAAAAAUGUCGUCACUUGACAUUCUUGUGAAAUUUUCAAAGCUCUCUCUUUCGCUCAUUCAUAUUAUUUAAUCAUAUCUCCGACAUGUCGGGCUGAAAUGUCGUCGUAUAUUAGAAUGAAGUCUAAUCACAUAAAUCGACAGAAGAGGGGUGGUGAUUUAUCGCGCAUAAUCAGGGCUAAAAAUAAUCCUAACGGCGUCGUGCCUUACUCAUGUCUCGUUUCGAUCCAUUUUCGCACCACCGACGUCAACCCCUUAUUCGAGGAAUUAUGGAACGGAACUCGGGAUCACGUUGCAAUAUAGCCGGCUGUUUUAUUCCGCCUGCGUGGGACGUUUCUGAGGGCGAUCUUUAAGAUGUGCUCCCUAUUUUUUUACACGUGCUACGCAUAAAUAUUCAACGAGAUACAAGUGCCUAUACGGGUGGCUACCUACGCAGGCUUUACCGCCUACCAUCACCGUAAUGCGAUCUUUUUUAGUACAUGCAAAAUUACGCUAAUGCAAUAUCAUAAAAGAUCCACCCGUUCCCCCGGGCGAGCUUCUUUUCCGUUGAGAAUGUGAAAUUAUGAGGAAAGCCAGCAUCAGAAAUGCAAUACAUCCGACUCUUCAAUUCGCAAAGGGAUGUAUCGUUGUGGCGAUCAUUUACACCAUUACGAUCCUCUGCGAGUGCUCGCGGAGAACGUUACAUUUUUCUUGCUGCAACAAUCUGCGGAAUUUUCGAGCGUCCAUUAAAUAUCACUUUAUUCGUGAAAUAUCUUUGACCGUAAAUGCUGAUAACGUGCGUCGUACAGCCAACCCCGAAAAGUGAGAUUUAUUGCAGGAUUCCAAUACCACGAUCUUGGGAGCAUCCUCGAGACGCACUUGAGUGUACGGGCGACUUGAAUCACGCGAAAUUGGAAUAUUAGAUUACACUGUGCGCUAAUUACGCGUCGCACAUUCAAUCGACGCUGAGUCGCGACUCGUCGCCGCCUUCGCGCCCUUCGCUCCCUUCGCAAUAAGAACGCAAUUCGAAGGACAAAGGCGUGGUGAAAUCUCAUGGACGAACGGCGGGACAAUGGAUGCAUUUCUACCUUUCAAUUGUCAUAUCAAGCAUGACAUUGCGCGUAGAAACGCAGUUCGCUCAUGUCAAUGCAUCCCCCGGAGUGGCCUCUGACAUGCUGGUCGUACGGGUGCGAUAACAAAUAUACGAAAAGACCGUAUUCUUCGCGCGCGCUCGCCGAAAUCACGUACAAAAGUUGUCAUACAUGUUCGUCGCUGUUCGAAAGUACGCUUGAAAUUUUCAAAGAAAAUCUUGCAUAAGCUUGAGCAGAAUUCUAAUAUUUGCCCGCAGCCGGUGAUAAAUGGCGACUUUGGGACCUGAAGGCGAUCGUUCCUGGAGGCCUUUAGCGUGUGUGUGUAUGUGUGAGCGCGCACAUGUAUUUGUGCAUGUCGUGACUAUAACUGAAUGAGAAUCCGUUACAUAAUUUCGACGGGAAGACGUUACGCAACUUUAGAAAAUUUAUGAAAGGUUCUAUGGAAGAUCUAGUCUACCUAGACGCAAGAUAAUAGUGAUUUGUAAUUCUGAGAUUUCUUUCACACAGGUCGCGCGUGCAAUGUUCUCCAUUAUCUUAUGUCAAGAGACUGAAUUAUUCGCCGAGCCUCUUGACCGCGCUCAGGGCAUAAAGUUGAUACUUCAAUACUCUCCACAUAGAUUCGUUGCUCGCGGCAGCGCGCAUAAGUAGGAUCGGCUCAAAGUCCCUUCGAGAGGAAAGUUCCCGAGCUUAAUGUAAUGCGUUGGAAAGAUUGUGCGCGGUCAAUGCCAGAGCCAUACAUUGGAAAAUGGUCGGGCACACAGCGGAAGCGCGCGCAUGGUCGGUCGAUGAUGCCGUGCUUAUAUCCUGAAAAAAGUUGGAGGUGAAAGCCUUCCUCUGUCCGGAUAUAUUAAUACCCUUCGAAGAAAAACUGGAGCACCUCUCUUCGAUGCCGGGUAUGCCUUUGACAGAUUGUCCACGGAAAUUUCGCAGAAUUGAUGGCGGAGUCUGCGAGAUGACUCCCAACAGCAGAUUCAAUUCGGAUUUAUAUUGUGUAUAUUGUGUUAGCGGUAUACAGUUCCGUGCCCUUUUCGCUUUAUCUUUGGAAAACUGUCUCGAGAGUCCUGCAAAAUCAUACGUUUUCAAAGCCAGAAUCAUACGUUUUAUUUGAAGUGUGUCGAUUUCUUCGUACGAACUUCUUGUCGUCGAGAUUUACUUUUAUUGACCGUUCACCCGUAAUCUUUGACUUGUUCAAGUUAACAGCAGAGAUUUGCCCGCUCCUUUUGUUACGUAAAAGUACUUUAUUGCGGUGGACCACUGCUGUUACGAUAUCACGAUGUUCCACCGGAGAGAUAUAACGAUUCCAUCGAGAGCGAGAUGACUUUGAGGAAACUCAUCGAUCGCGCGUGUUCAAUUUUUUUUUCGUGAACUUGAAACUUGAAAAACUGCUUUUCUACAAUUUUAUGGUGAAUUAAUCGGGUGUUACCAUUAGCUGCUGGGUCAUCGAUUUAAGAGGCGAUUAAAAAAUUGCGAGCGACGUUAUGCUCACUGGAGUAUUUUACAUAAAGUGUCGUCUCGCUUGUGCCAUUGCGGAAUAAAUUUAUAAAGCAACCUGAAUUUCCACAAAUAUAUGAAAUAUAUAUAAGAAAAUGUUAAAAGUCAAUUUCGAUGCAAAUCAUUGUGCGAAUCUUUGGAGAGGUGUCAAACAUUCGCCAGCGCAGUCGUUCCAAUCAGAAUUCACAGAAUCGCAAAUUAAUGAAAUUAAUUAUGCGGAUAGAGCUCCCUGAUGAUUUGCAUAAUUAAAUUGCUCUAAAUGAAGCAUACACUCGCAUUUAGAAUUACGCUGGUGUAAUUAUCGUUUUCCAUUUGCUAGUUUUUGCCACGCAGAGUAUCAUUCUUCACAGUCACAAACGUGUUCGCGGUAGGAAAAAGAGAAAGAAAAAAAAACAAGAACAUGUGGCGCACUGUCGACCUUUUAACAUCACGUGUAAACUUUAAGAUUGCACACGUUAAUUAACUUUAAUGUGUCGCCGCGAGGUUUUUGUCGGCAACGACCGACGAGCUAAUCGCAUUUCCAAUUACUCGCGGCAGGAAAAACUGCGUCGCUUCUGUCGCGUUCGCUCCUCCGUUCAUAACCGAAUCAGCAGCCUCAGUUCUGAACGGAUGUUAGCCGUUACGAAAUUCAGGUUAACCGCUGAUAUAUAGAACAACACAACGUCGAAGCAUUCACGUGCAGGAUCCCGCGAAUCCCUGACCUAUAUCCCUUAAAACAUCGUAUCGCCAUUAUGUGCGCCGCCUCUCACCCUCGCAUUCUCCCACACGUGUGUGAAACACACGUACACCGUGUACACCGCACACGUACAUUCGUGUAUGUAUUUUUUUUGCGUAUAUAAAUUUUGCGCAUCCUCCUUUCUUUUUUUUUCCUUUUUUAUUUUUGUCGCACAUUCGGGAUUGCAUAUGCACCGAAUGUCGUCGCACGCCGUUCUCCUGCAGAUAGGGAGCGAGCGGAGGAAAUCACGGUAUUGCUCUUAUUCGUAAAGGGACCGGUUUCCUUUACGGAUAAGCCACUUCCGGGAGACGGAAGCCCGUUUCUCCCGUAGCGUUGGAAUCCGAUAAAAUUUUGGCCCGAGAAACUCACCCGUUCUAACAGAGUGUAAAUAAAAUCGUAAAAAAGCGCGCGUUUAGUCGUGAAUCUGCGCUUUUUUAGCGGGCCUAGAGAUGUGCCAUUAGGAAAUGUUAUCAGGAAAGUGCUGUUGGGGAAAGGAAAAGAUUUCGUGUGUCCCGUGAAUUACGUUUAUCGACUUUUCCAAAUUUUCCCUGAUAACGUACGUCGUCUCCUUAGGAAACUGGCACGCGACGUAAUGGUGCACGUUGUAACGAAUGAUCCUGCCAUCAUUCUCGCAGCAGAUAUAAAUCCUCAUUAACUGUUUGCGUGACUUCUUGCGGAAUAUGUAAGAUUCAAGAUGAUUCGCGUUACGCUGAAUACCAUUUUCACAGAAUGCCCUUCGGGUCUCUCAGAAAAGUUGCGACAAAAUUUUCCGCAGAAAUUCCGUGCGACAAUUCCGCCGAGAAUUGCGCGCGGUCCAUGCUCGAAUAUGACACGCACGUAACAUACGCGGGGAAUGGCGUCUAUAUAUUUAGUGAUUAUGUAAUAGAAUAGAAGUUUCUUCCAAGCAAGUUCUAAGUCGCUCAAGUUCCAGAGUCGGUUUAGUUUGCCACGAAUGUAGAAGCAGUUACAUGACGAGGCUGUGGAAGUGUUGUGGGAGAGACUUUGGAUCCGAUUAUGGAGUUUUGAAACCCGGUUUCCGUAUCGGGUGCACUCCGCAUUCGAAGAGUACUCCUUCCUGUGUAAGUUAAUUGUUUAUUAUGUGUCCUCUAUUAGAUGUGAGUGCUAAUAGUGAAGAUGCACACGUAUGCGUACGUUGGCUUGAUGAGACUUUAACCAAUCUUUGCUGCAAUACUUGUCCACAAAUAAUUUGCGACACACUUGAGUUUUUGGCACACUUGAUAAUUAAUAAUUAAUUGUUCCGCUUGAUUGAUCAAUGUUUGAUGAAAGGAAUUUUGUAAUUUUUGCCAUAGUUGUUCAGGCAUCUCAUAUGGACGCGAUUAAGAGGAAAGUGGAGGCAAUUAUUGUGUUUGCGUGAGAGUGGCUUACAAGCUCUCUCGCAAAUGUAGCAAGAAGUUGGCGAUCAAACGAAGCUGAUUUCGAAUUGGAGCGCAUCCAAGAACUUUUAGCUAAUAACGAGCAGUAGAGAGAGAGAGAGCUGGUCGGUUACUGGUGCGAGUUUAUUUCGCCAACGAGAUUAAUCUUCAUCUCGUGGCACUCGAACACUAUUAAAUUUUCGCGUUUUGUUGAACGUCAUCGCCGUGCACAUGAAUCAUUACGUCACGUUCAACAAAGCGGAAUAAUUAUCGAUUGUUUACAAAUAUGUGGAAAUAUUGCAUGAUAUAAACAUGUUGUCGAGCAGGAAAAACCUAUCCUCUUGAAAUUCGGUGAAGAUAAUUAAAGUCAAACGAUUUACGCACGGCUGAUGCUGUACGUGUCGCGCAUACAGAAGUUCCAGCAAACAGAGGCGAAACUUUAUCGAUUUUGUCAUGAUUUUGUUUAUUUUAUCAAACACUCGCUCAACCUCAUCGCCAUGGUGAUACAUCACCGUGUGAGAAUCGAUUCGCGUGUUCGCACGCGGUCGUGCACCGCUGAAAUCGCUGCUCGCUUCGGGAUAAAUCCGGAAGUGCACUGCCUCGGAUUCGAUAGAAAUAAUUAAACGCGUUGGUGAAGCUUGUAAUGAGGAGAAUUAAUUAUAAUUUGAAGCCUGGCAUUCUCUCUUUCAGCGGGCGCGCGUGCGUUUAUGUAUCGGGAAUUCAAUAUUACUUAUAAAAGCAUCAUGCAAAAUUAAUUAUUGUGCCGCCAUAUCGCGCGAGCGGUGGGCGUGUAAUUAAAUUACAAAAACAGAAGGUUGUUAUAGUUUGCAAUAACGCCGUCCUCCUUAAUCCGAUGAAUGCACACGGGGAUGCUUAAUCAACGUCGCGGGGGAGGAGAAUCCACUCCCUGACUGUUACCGGAAACAUCGGCGAGCAAUUUCCGUGGCGGAGCCCCCGCAGACGUCUGUUGUUUGCGAUAUUUGCGGUUUGUUAUGUAGCAAGCAUGGGAUAGCAACUAUGGCACUGCUUAUCCCCGGCGUUGAUACUAGACUAUGUACUCUGAGCUAUAAUAUACGUUAUAUUGCACGUCACUCACGCGCAACUUGGCCGUGCGAGAUGCAUAUAGUAUCGAACUUAAGUUACUGCAUUAAUAAACAGCUCGGCGAGUAAUCAAAGAUGCGUAACUGUAAUCCUGAAGUCGAAAGUAAGAAAUACUUCCGGAAGACGACUUCCGCGAGUGAAUUACUUUUGAUCGAAGUGCACAUGCAAAUAUAUAUACGUACGCGCGUAUAUAUGUAUAUUUGAUAUCGAAUAUCAGACGGUAAUGCUCACGCAAUGUUUCAACGUUGAGAGGCAACAUUGUCGAGCAAGGUAAAACGCACUUUUCACGCAUUUUAAAUGGGGGGAAUACGGUAGGUUGAUUUAAUCAAGAUGUUUUUUUUCCAGUUUUGACCAUCUGUCACGCUGGAUACGUUUGUGUCAGGAAUCGUGACGCACACAAAUUGUCAAUGUCACAUGAUUAAUUCGCAAUGGCCCGUAGCCUCAUUGGACGUUAAUAAACGAGGCUUUAGAUCACCGGAGACCAAAUAUCCCAUCAAAUCAGCGUUCUGCCAGUGCGGCGUGUUCAACCAGUUGGCUGAUCGCGCGGAAGAUGAUAUGAACUCGAGUUUCAGUUAGUCGAAUACGUCGCUUUAAAGCACCAAUUUGCUGCGUACGCAAGCCCCAACUGGCGGUGUACUGGUCUCGCAUAUAAUUUUGCCAGCAUGAAGAUGAGAGACGGCGCACGAUAAUAUAUCAGGAAAUUCAAUAGUGUAUAUGUACGUGCAACUCGAUAGAGCGGCAUAUGAGUUUCGGCAAACAAAGUAAUUCGGGACAUGAUAUCCCAGCGCACAAGUCGUAAAUCGCGAAACGUUUCACGGUAGGGUGAUUUAACAAAGUUGCAAAUUUAUCACCGCUUUGCCAUUUAAAUGAAUUUCUAUUGCGCGAAUAAAAAAAUUGUGCGAGUCUCUAGUUACGUAAGACUUUGACGAGAGCGCCAAGGCACGAUUAUAAAACGUCAGCGUAACGUCGUUUGCAGAAUUCUACGACUCAAUUUGCAUUCAUGUCAAGUGAAACACCUCGAGUGAAGAGCGACAUGAUAUUCCACGCUGGCAAGUUCGGCGUACUGCCGGAAACGCGAUCAAAAAUUGAUAGCGAGAGGUACAGUGCCAACGAUAGAGGAAUUAUUGAUGAUCUUCUGGAAACUAGUUCCCAGUUUAGCCAGUCAGAGAAUUUCCACUCUUUCAUUCUCUUUAAACGUACGUUUAAUCCAGAUUAAAGACAUUUUAAUUAUUAAAGCCAGGCAAAUUGGUGUAUUAAACAUUACUCCUUAUAUACGGCUCCUCCUAGCUUAUACAUUCGAAAGCAUUUACGAAACAAUUAAUCUACUUCUCGUGCACAUCGCACAAGCGCAGAUAAAUGCACGUACGAACUCGGGAUUUCCGA